rnacentral:snoRNA from 1 species
AACUUCCCAGAAUCGCAUCCAGAUAAUGGCUUGUAUUCUAUCAGCUUCAGAGAUGGGAGGGAAAGCAAGCCUGGCAGAGAUGCCCAUUCCAUUCCCAGUGUACUCAGCAGCUGGUGAUUGGAAGAUGCUCUGUGACAAUG